GAUGAACGCUGGCGGCGUGCCUAAUACAUGCAAGUCGAGCGAACGGACGAGAAGCUUGCUUCUCUGAUGUUAGCGGUGGACGGGUGAGUAACACGUGGAUACCCUACCUAUAAGACUGGGAUAACUUCGGGAAACCGGAGCUAAUACCGGAUAAUCUUUUGAACCGCAUGGUUCAAAAGUGAAAGACGGUCUUGCUGUCACUUAUAGAUGGAUCCGUGCUGCAUUAGCUAGUUGGUAAGGUAACGGCUUACCAAGGCAACGAUGCAUAGCCGACCUGAGAGGGUGACCGGCCACACUGGAACUGAGACACGGUCCAGACUCCUACGGGAGGCAGCAGUAGGGAAUCUUCCGCAAUGGGCGAAAGCCUGACGGAGCAACGCCGCGUGAGUGAUGAAGGUCUUCGGAUCGUAAAACUCUGUUAUUAGGGAAGAACAUAUGUGUAAGUAACUGUGCACAUCUUGACGGUACCUAAUCAGAAAGCCACGGCUAACUACGUG
rnacentral:rRNA from 1 species